rnacentral:rRNA from 1 species
CCUACGGGUGGCUGCAGUGAGGAAUAUUGGUCAAUGGACGAGAGUCUGAACCAGCCAAGUAGCGUGAAGGAUGACUGCCCUAUGGGUUGUAAACUUCUUUUAUACAGGAAUAAAACGAGGCACGUGUGCCUUUCUGCAUGUACUUUACGAAUAAGGAUCGGCUAACUCCGUGCCAGCAGCCGCGGUAAUACGGAGGAUCCGAGCGUUAUCCGGAUUUAUUGGGUUUAAAGGGAGCGUAGAUGGGUUGUUAAGUCAGAUGUGAAAGUUUGCGACUCAACCGUGAAAUUGCAAUUGAUACUGGCAGUCUUGAGUGCAGUUGAGGUAGGCGGAAUGCGUGGUGUAGCGGUGAAAUGCUUAGAUAUCACGAAGAACCCCGAUUGCGAAGGCAGCUUACUAAGCUAUGACUGACAUUGAUGCUCGAAAGUGUGGGUAGCAAACAGGAUUAGAUACCCCGGUAGUC